GAUGAACGCUGGCGGCGUGCCUAAUACAUGCAAGUCGAGCGAACAGACGAGGAGCUUGCUCCUCUGACGUUAGCGGCGGACGGGUGAGUAACACGUGGAUAACCUACCUAUAAGACUGGGAUAACUUCGGGAAACCGGAGCUAAUACCGGAUAAUAUAUUGAACCGCAUGGUUCAAUAGUGAAAGACGGUUUUGCUGUCACUUAUAGAUGGAUCCGCGCCGCAUUAGCUAGUUGGUAAGGUAACGGCUUACCAAGGCAACGAUGCGUAGCCGACCUGAGAGGGUGAUCGGCCACACUGGAAGUGAGACACGGUCCAGACGCCUACGGGAGGCAGCAGUAUGGAAUCUUCCGCAAUGGGCGAAAGCCUUACGGAGCAACGCCGCGUGAGUGAUGAAGGUCUUCGGAUCGGAAAACUCUGUUAUUAGUGAAGAACAAAUGUGGAAGUAACUAUGCACGUCUUGACGGUACCUGAUCAGAAAGCCACGGCUAACUACGUG
rnacentral:rRNA from 1 species